rnacentral:rRNA from 1 species
UACGUAGGGUGCGAGCGUUAAUCGGAAUUACUGGGCGUAAAGCGUGCGCAGGCGGUUCGUUAAGUCAGCUGUGAAAGCCCCGGGCUCAACCUGGGAAUUGCGGUUGAAACUGGCGGACUAGAAUCUGGCAGAGGGGGGUGGAAUUCCACGUGUAGCAGUGAAAUGCGUAGAGAUGUGGAGGAACACCGGUGGCGAAGGCGGCUCACUGGCUCGUAUCUGACGCUCAGGCGCGACAGCGUGGGGAUCAAACAGG